UCUACCCCGCAGUGCGGAAUACCGGCGAGAAAUCGCCGACAAGACCGCAUGGGCCUGUCCUCAUGAAGGAGGACAGGCAAAGGUUUUCGCAAGAGAGCCGCUGUGGGAUGAGCCUGCGGCUGAUUAGCUGGCUGGGGGGGUAACGGCCUACCAAGGCGUCGAUCGGUAGCUGGUCUGAGAGGAUGGUCAGCCACACUGGGACUGAGACACGGCCCAG
rnacentral:rRNA from 1 species